UCAUCUCCACUCCCUCAAAAUCCAUUCGAUCUGGAAAUGGAACUGUAAAGAAUCAACCAUCUUCAUCCAACUGAAGUUUCUUUUUCUUUUUUGUUCAUAUCCCCACCAUGCCUCAUUGCCUCCUAUAUUCCCUUCACCCUUUGUAAGAGACAAUUUUGAAGGCUAUUGAUAGGGCACUUGGCACCUCCAAGAUAGAUGAAGAGACCCAAAUCUUGAGACUCUUCUGAGGAAGAGAGUGAUCACUAACAACACACCUGAUGGCUUUCUACUGGUGAGUGCAUUGCAUCACAUAAAUUGUAAUACAUCGGAACCAUUUAGUGUAGAGACGGGAAGUGUGACCGUGAUUCCAUUGACUGAUACACAGACACGCUUUAUAAUCAGCGAACAGGCUGAUCUUUGCAGAGAUGGCCUCAAGUGGCAAGUGAAUGUGAGAGAUCCAAUGUAAGGGGUCAAUGAGGCUCCUUGACCCCUGUGCGUGUUUGUGGUGCUGGUGAAAUGAUCA